GUCAAAUCUUCUUGAAAAAAGAAAAAUACAGUGUGAAUGUAGUACAGUGUUGGAGAAACUUUACUUUGUUUUGGUGGGGUAUUAGUAUUUGUUUGUUUGAAUAGCAGACUUCAAAUGCUGCUGCUUGCCGUGUGAAGACUUUUCUCGAGUCAUCUAAAGUCUUUGCCAUCUUUGCCAAGAUAGAGCCUUUUGUUGGAGCUGAAAUUUUAUCAAAUUCCAAGUAGUACUGCAAUUUGUGAGCAGAUUUGUGAUAAAAAUUAUGGUGUGGGUUCAGAUUUAGUAGCUUAAAGGAACUGUGAAAUUUGGGCUUUUCAAGAACUGGAAAAGAUUGAAUCUUGCACUUUGUAGAUGGUGGGUUUUCUACAUUUCUGAUUGAGAUAAAGUUUAUGCUGUGGGUUCAGAUUUAGCAGCCUAAAGGAAUUGUAAAAUUGGGCUUUUGGCUAUCCAAGGACUGAAAAAGAUUGAAUCUCGUGUCCCGUAGAUGGUGGGUUUUCUACAUUUCUGGUAAUUUUACCUUUUUGGGGUUGUUUCUGUUUUGUUUGGUUUUGAUGGCAACAAAUACAUAUGGAAAUUUAAGGUUGUAUUUAGCUUUUGUCUUGAUGAUUAAGUAUUGUUUUCAAGCAGGUGGGUCAACUUUCGUUGUCCAUAUGUAACAUAAUGGAUCUUGAGAAUUCCUAUAACCAAGAUAAUUAGUUUGGGAUUGAGUGAUGUUUUUGUUUCAAGGGGUUUCUAGCAGUUAGUAGGUAGCCGGG